CGGGUGAGUAACACGUAGAUAACCUACCUAUAAGACUGGGAUAACUUCGGGAAACCGGAGCUAAUACCGGAUAAUAUAUUGAACCGCAUGGUUCAAUAGUGAAAGACGGUUUUGCUGUCACUUAUAGAUGGAUCCGCGCCGCAUUAGCUAGUUGGUAAGGUAACGGCUUACCAAGGCAACGAUGCGUAGCCGACCUGAGAGGGUGAUCGGCCACACUGGAACUGAGACACGGUCCAG
rnacentral:rRNA from 1 species